rnacentral:rRNA from 1 species
GAUGAACGCUAGCGGGAGGCCUAACACAUGCAAGCCGAGCGGGAUUUGUUGGUUAGCUUGCUAACUAACAAUGAGAGCGGCGUACGGGUGCGUAGCACGUGUGCAACCUGCCUUUAUCUGGGGGAUAGCCUUUCGAAAGGAAGAUUAAUACCCCAUAACAUAUUGAUUGGCAUCAGUUAAUAUUGAAAGCUCCGGCGGAUAGAGAUGGGCACGCGUAAGAUUAGCUAGUUGGUGAGGUAACGGCUCACCAAGGCUGCGAUCUUUAGGGGGCCUGAGAGGGGGAUCCCCCACACGGGGACUGGGACACGGACCAGACUCCUACGGGAGGCAGCAGUGAGGAAGAUUGGACAAGGGGUGAGAGCCUGAUCCAGCCAUCCCGCGUGAAGGACUAAGGACCUAUGGUUGGUAAACUUCUGUUAGACAGGGAUAAACCUACUCUCGUGAGGGUAGCUGAAGGUACUGUAUGAAUAAGCACCGGCUAACUCCGUG